ensembl:lncRNA
CUCUACAGGGUGCCGCCUUCGCUGCCGCCGCGGCAGGGGUACGGGUUUCUCUGGCCGGCCAACUCAGCUGCCCUGGAGGAUUCGUGCAUGAUUGAUAAGGUACCUCUGAUGAAGCCAUGACAAGGUGGGCACGAGUUACGACCACACAGAACAGAAGACCCUUCCCUGCAACAUCAUGGGAGGACAUGAAGAAGGGAUCCCUUGAGGGGAAAAGCCAAAGCCCACCAAGGAGUAAACAACUUGAAGCCAACAGGCUGUCUCUUAAAAAGGACUCACCUCAAGCAAAACACAAAAAGAAUAAAAAGAAAAAGGAGUAUUUAAAUGAAGAUGUGAAUGGAUUCAUGGAGUACCUAAGACAGAACUCACAGAUGGUUCACAAUGGGGAGGAGAUAGCAGACAGUCAGGAAGUAAGGCAAGAAAUUGCACUUGCUUUAAAGAAGGACAGUCGCCGGGAGGGCAGGCGAUUAAAACGACAAGCAGCAAAGAAAAAUGCAAUGGUAUGUUUCCAUUGCAGACAACCUGGCCAUGGGAUUGCAGAUUGCCCUGCUGCCCUUGAAAAUCAAGAAAUGGGCACUGGAAUAUGCUAUCGGUGUGGAUCCACAGAGCACGAAAUAACCAAGUGCAAGGCUCAAGUAGACCCAGCUCUUGGUGAAUUUCCUUUUGCAAAAUGUUUCGUUUGUGGGGAAAUGGGACAUCUAUCCAGAUCUUGUCCUGAUAAUCCCAAAGGACUCUAUGCUGAUGGUGGUUGCUGCAGACUUUGUGGCUCUGUGGAACAUUUUAAGAAAGACUGCCCGGAAAGUAAGAAUUCAGAUCAAAUGGUCACAGUUGGUCGCUGGGCAAAGGGAAUGAGUGCAGACUAUGAAGAAAUUUUGGAUGUGCCUAAACCACAGAAACCCAAAACAAAGCUACCUAAAGUUGUUAACUUUUGAUAAUGACUGGUACUGUUGUUAGCUGCCACUUCUUUGGUAAACAUUCUGAAUUGGGCUUACUUCACAAAUUGGAGCUAGACUCUCUCUUGGAGGCGGCUUGUAUUAUCGAUAUCAGUAUAAGCUGGGUGGGGUCAGGUUGUUCCCUGAGUUCUGUCCAUUGACGAGUACUUCUCCCACUGUUUGGGGAAAAUGGCUGAAAAAAAGUAUAAAAUGUUCAAGUUGGAUUCUCUAAAAGUAUAUAUUUUUAACAGAUAAAACUUAGGUGUAACUAAGUGGUUAUAUACCUGAUUGUAACAAUCACCUUUUUCUUAAAAAUUAAAUUAUGCAUUAAUAUGAACCAUCCCUAAAUAUAGGGUAACUGCUUUGUACUUGGAAAUGAAUUUUUGCCGACAUAAUUUUCUUCAUUCAAAGUAUCAAUUUAUUAUUAUAUUAGAAUUUAUAAUUGCUAUAAAAUCUGUAUUUUAAAAAUAUUUAAUAAAAACGCGUUUGCUAUUUAUUUUUCUGAAUACCU